UGGGGAAUAUUGCACAAUGGAGGGAACUCUGAUGCAGCGACGCCGCGUGAGUGAUGAAGGAAUUCGUUUCGUAAAACUCUGUUCUAUGGGAAGAAAAGGACUGUACCAUAGGAGAAAGCUCCGGCUAAAUACGUGCCAGCAGCCGCGGUAAUACGUAUGGAGCGAGCGUUGUCCGGAAUUAUUGGGCGUAAAGGGUGCGCAGGCGGCUUUACAAGUUGGAUGUGAAAUAUUGUGGCUCAACCACAAACGUGCAUCCAAAACUGCAAAGCUUGAGUUAAGGAGAGGUAAGUGGAAUUCCUGGUGUAGCGGUAGAAUGCGUAGAUAUCAGGAGGAAUACCGGUGGAGAAGGCGACUUACAGGACUUAAACUGACGCUCAGGCACGAAAGCGUGGGGAGCAAACAGG
rnacentral:rRNA from 1 species